rnacentral:rRNA from 1 species
GAUGAACGCUGGCGGCGUGCUUAACACAUGCAAGUCGAACGAUGAAGCCCAGCUUGCUGGGUGGUUUAGUUGCGAACGGGUGAGUAACACGUGAGUAACCUGCCCUUAACUCUGGGUUAAGCCUGGGAAACUGGGUCUAAUACCGGAUAGGUGCUUCCUCCGCAUGGUGGGUGUUGGAAUGAUUUAUCGGUUUUGGAUGGACUCGCGGCCUAUCAGCUUGUUUGUGAGGUAAUGGCUCACCAAGGCGACGACGGGUAGCCGGCCUGAGAGGGUGAACGGCGAAACUGGGACUGAGACACGGAGCAGAAUCCUACGGGAGGCAGCAGUGGGGAAUAUUGCACAAUGGGCGCAAGCCUGAUGCAGAGACGCCGCGAGAGGGAAGACGGCCUUCGGGUUGUAAACCUCUGUCAGUAGGGAAGAAGCGAAAGUGACGGUAACUGAAGAAGAAGCACCGGCUAACUACGUG